rnacentral:rRNA from 1 species
UGGGGAAUAUUGGACAAUGGGCGCAAGCCUGAUCCAGCAAUGCCGCGUGUGUGAAGAAGGCCUUCGGGUUGUAAAGCACUUUUGUUUGGGAAGAAAUCCGGUUGGUUAAUACCUGAUCGGGAUGACGGUACCAAAAGAAUAAGCACCGGCUAACUUCGUGCCAGCAGCCGCGGUAAUACGAAGGGUGCAAGCGUUAAUCGGAAUUACUGGGCGUAAAGCGUGCGUAGGUGGUUUGUUAAGUCAGAUGUGA